UUGUUGAUUUGACAUGACCUCAUUUCUGCCUGUUUUGUCUCCUGUGGUCCAGCCUCUUCUACUUCGGAGAGAGAGCUUUUUUCCCAUUUCUGGAAUCUGGGCUGGCCUUAUGAUUUGAGUUGACCAAUAGAAGUCAAAGGAGGUAUCGGUGUGCCAGUUGCAAUCCUACCACUCAAGAAGGCUUGCUUGCUCGUAUUCUCUCUCAGAAUCAUCUGGCCUCCUUUGAAAGAGGCUGAACUGGCCAGCAGGUGUAUGAGAAACUAUAGAGAAGAGAAGUGUGAAGAGAGAGCCCCUUAGAAGGUGAGAUGCCAGCUGACCUGCAGCCACUCUCAACAGAGCUUCGUUCUAGACUGAGCCAGUGGAGAGCAGUCUCCAUGCUGAGUUUAAAUCAGAAUAAUUUUAGAAGCAUGCUGGCUUUGGCAGCACAUGUACUAAAAUUGGUGGAGUAA
rnacentral:lncRNA from 12 species